GGGGAUUUAGCUCAGUGGUACAGCGCUUGCCUAGCAAGCACAAGGCCCUGGGUUCAGUUCCCAGCUCCG
rnacentral:tRNA from 1 species